rnacentral:rRNA from 1 species
GACGAACGCUGGCGGCGUGCCUAAUACAUGCAAGUAGAACGCUGAAGGAGGAGCUUGCUUCUCCGGAUGAGUUGCGAACGGGUGAGUAACGCGUAGGUAACCUGCCUGGUAGCGGGGGAUAACUAUUGGAAACGAUAGCUAAUACCGCAUAAGAGUAGAUGUUGCAUGACAUUUGCUUAAAAGGUGCAAUUGCAUCACUACCAGAUGGACCUGCGUUGUAUUAGCUAGUUGGUGGGGUAACGGCUCACCAAGGCGACGAUACAUAGCCGACCUGAGAGGGUGAUCGGCCACACUGGGACUGAGACACGGCCCAGACUCCUACGGGAGGCAGCAGUAGGGAAUCUUCGGCAAUGGACGGAAGUCUGACCGAGCAACGCCGCGUGAGUGAAGAAGGUUUUCGGAUCGUAAAGCUCUGUUGUAAGAGAAGAACGAGUGUGAGAGUGGAAAGUCACACU